rnacentral:rRNA from 1 species
UACGAAGGGGGCUAGCGUUGUUCGGAAUUACUGGGCGUAAAGCGCACGUAGGCGGACUGUUAAGUCAGGGGUGAAAUCCUGGAGCUCAACUCCAGAACUGCCUUUGAUACUGAUGGUCUCGAGUCCGGAAGAGGUGAGUGGAAUUCCGAGUGUAGAGGUGAAAUUCGUAGAUAUCGGGAGGAACACCGGUGGCGAAGGCGGCGACCUGGGUAGAUACUGACGCUGAGGUGCGAAAGCGUGGGGAGCAAACAGG